CCUACGGGAGGCAGCAGUGAGGAAUAUUGGUCAAUGGACGCAAGUCUGAACCAGCCAUGCCGCGUGCAGGAAGACGGCCCUAUGAGUUGUAAACUGCUUUUGUACGAGGGUAAACGCAGAUACGCGUAUCUGUCUGAAAGUAUCGUACGAAUAAGGAUCGGCUAACUCCGUGCCAGCAGCCGCGGUAAUACGGAGGAUUCAAGCGUUAUCCGGAUUUAUUGGGUUUAAAGGGUGCGUAGGCGGUCGGAUAAGUUAGAGGUGAAAUCACGGGGCUCAACUUCGGAAUUGCCUCUGAUACUGGUCGGCUAGAGAGUAGUAGAGGUAGGCGGAAUGUAUGGUGUAGCGGUGAAAUGCUUAGAGAUCAUGCAGAACACCGAUUGCGAAGGCAGCUUACCGGGCUACUACUGACGUUGAGGCACGAAAGCGUGGGGAGUAAACAGGAUUAGAUACCCCAGUAGUC
rnacentral:rRNA from 1 species